AGCCGCACUUGUUCGAUUGGCAAACUCAUCAGUAUUUUUAAUUCCGAGACAAGCUCUCGUUGUCAAUGGCGGGCCGCACCCUUCGGGGCAUGCAUCGCACAGCGGAUUACAAAGACGGCGAAGCACUCAAAACCUGUCACACGGAGUUUAUUCAUAUCUUCAGUGCGGCUUUCUUU
rnacentral:sRNA from 3 species